CCUACGGGUGGCAGCAGUGAGGAAUAUUGGUCAAUGGACGAGAGUCUGAACCAGCCAAGUAGCGUGAAGGAUGACUGCCCUAUGGGUUGUAAACUUCUUUUAUAUGGGAAUAAAACGUUCCACGUGUGGGAUUUUGUAUGUACCAUAUGAAUAAGGAUCGGCUAACUCCGUGCCAGCAGCCGCGGUAAUACGGAGGAUCCGAGCGUUAUCCGGAUUUAUUGGGGUUAAAGGGAGCGUAGGUGGAUUGUUAAGUCAGUUGUGAAAGUUUGCGGCUCAACCGUAAAAUUGCAGUUGAAACUGGCAGUCUUGAGCACAGUAGAGGUGGGCGGAAUUCGUGGUGUAGCGGUGAAAUGCUUAGAUAUCACGAAGAACUCCGAUUGCGAAGGCAGUUCACUGGACUGCAACUGACACUGAGGCUCGAAAGUGUGGGUAUCAAACAGGAUUAGAUACCCGUGUAGUC
rnacentral:rRNA from 1 species